GGUUUCCGUAGGUGAACCUGCGGAAGGAUCAUUACCGAUGUAAUCCAAAAGCACGACUCCGUCGUGACUACCGUGUGAACCGUACCAAACUAUUCAGGGGUCGGCCAGUCCGUUAAAUGGCGGUCGGACGAGUGCAUUGCGCGCGGCCGCUCCGCCAGCCCCGCCUGUGUUUUUUAACAUACGUGUCUUGUCUGAAAACGUGACCACUGCCGUGGUCUAGAGCAAACAAAAAGAGAGACAACUUUUGACGGUGGAUCUCUUGGCUCACGCAUCGAUGAAGAACGCAGCCAGCUGCGAUAAGUAGUGUGAAUUGCAGAAUUCAGUGAAUCAUCGAAUCUUUGAACGCAAAUGGCGCUCUUGGGUUCUCCCAGGAGCAUGUCUGUCUGAGUGUCGGAUAUCAUCCAACGCACCUAGUCGUGCGGCGUUGAGGCGUCACGGCCCUUCUUGCGGCCGUGUCCCUUGAAAGUUAGAGAGACUCGCCGCGGCACGGGUUCGUUCCCUGCACACUCGCGGAGGCUAAAAACGCUUUUGCCCUUCGCGUGCACGGGAGCGACUCGUCCGCCGAGUCGCGGAGGCGAAAACUUUUCAACUCUUGACCUCAGAUCAGG
rnacentral:rRNA from 1 species